rnacentral:rRNA from 1 species
GACGAACGCUGGCGGCGUGCUUAACACAUGCAAGUCGAACGGUAAGGCCCUUCGGGGUACACGAGUGGCGAACGGGUGAGUAACACGUGGGUGAUCUGCCCUGCACUUCGGGAUAAGCCUGGGAAACUGGGUCUAAUACCGGAUAGGACCCUGGGAUGCAUGUCCUGGGGUGGAAAGCUUUUGCGGUGUGGGAUGGGCCCGCGGCCUAUCAGCUUGUUGGUGGGGUGAUGGCCUACCAAGGCGACGACGGGUAGCCGGCCUGAGAGGGUGACCGGCCACACUGGGACGGAGAUACGGCCCAGACUCCUACGGGAGGCAGCAGUGGGGAAUAUUGCACAAUGGGCGCAAGCCUGAUGCAGCGACGCCGCGUGAGGGAUGACGGCCUUCGGGCUGUAAACCUCUUUCAGCACCGACGAAGCGCAAGUGACGGUAGGUGCAGAAGAAGGACCGGCCAACUACGUGCCAGCAGCCGCAGUAA